rnacentral:rRNA from 1 species
CCUACGGGUGGCUGCAGUGGGGAAUAUUGGGCAAUGGGCGCAAGCCUGACCCAGCAACGCCGCGUGAAGGAAGACGGCUUUCGGGUUGUAAACCUCUUUUAAGAGGGAAGAGCAGAAGACGGUACCUCUUGAAUAAGCCACGGCUAACUACGUGCCAGCAGCCGCGGUCAUACGUAGGGGGCAAGCGUUGUCCGGAUUUACUGGGUGUAAAGGGCGUGUAGCCGGGCUGACAAGUCAGUUGUGAAAUCCGGGGGCUCAACCCCCGGACUGCAUUUGGAACUGUUUGUCUUGAGUAUCGGAGAGGCAGGCGGAAUUCCUAGUGUAGCGGUGAAAUGCGUAGAUAUUAGGAAGAACACC